GACGAACGCUGGCGGCGCGCUUAACACAUGCAAGUCGAGCGAGAACCAGGGCUUCGGCCCUGGGGACAGCGGCGAGCGGGUGAGUAACACGUGGGUAAUCCACCCUCGGCACCGGAAUAGCCCGGGGAAACCCGGAUUAAUGCCGGAUGGCCCGCCGGCCCCGAGGGGCUGGCGGAAAAGGUAGCUUCGGCCUCCGGCCGAGGACGAGCCCGCGACGGAUUAGCUUGUUGGUGGGGUAACGGCCUACCAAGGCUGCGAUCCGUAGCUGGUCUGAGAGGACGAUCAGCCACACUGGGACUGAGACACGGCCCAGACUCCUACGGGAGGCAGCAGUGGGGAAUCUUGCGCAAUGGGCGAAAGCCCGACGCAGCGACGCCGCGUGGGGGAAGAAGGCCUUCGGGUUGUAAACCUCUUUCAGGAGGGACGAAGCCACUCGGGUUAAUAGCCCAGAGGGUGACGGUACCUCCAGAAGAAGCCCCGGCUAACUACGUGCCAGCAGCCGCAGUAAAAC
rnacentral:rRNA from 1 species